rnacentral:rRNA from 1 species
CCCUUAGAUGUCCUGGGCCGCACGCGCGCUACACUGAACGGAUCAGCGCGUUUUCCCUUCCCGAGAGGGACGGGUAACCUGCUGAACCCCGUUCGUGGUAGGGAUCGGGGCUUGCAAUUAUUCCCCGUGAACCAGGAAUGCCCAGUAAGUGCAAGUCAUAAGCUUGCGUUGAUUACGUCCCUGCCCUUUGUACACACCGCCCGUCGCACCUACCGAUUGAAUGGUCCGGUGAAGCCUCCGGAUUGCACAGGCCCCGUGUCUGGCGCGAGAAGUUGGCUAAACCUUACCAUUUAGAGGAAGGUGAAGUCGUAACA